GGAGCUAAAUGCGUGUGCUGCAAGAGUGUGUUAUUAAUGAGAAAAAAGCCUGAAGGCACAGUGACUCCUAGCUCAUGGCCAGCAGACCAUUGCUGUUGUUCUGGGGAAGCAAAUGGGAAAAGCAGAGCCAGCCAAGGAGCAGACAGCCUACACAGGGAUGGAUUUUGCUCCUGGCCCUUUCUCAGGCAAGGCGAGAGCUUUUCCUGAGUGCAACCCACAAGACUGGAUCCACAGCUCCUCCGCCUGCAGCACUUCAAGACUUCCAGGUUGGAGACAAUGCGUCUGGAAAUUUGGGAGACUGCACUUUCUGCAUUUUUCCCUUGGUGUUUGCUUGGCGUCUUGUGAGCUGUACCUCCCAGUUGAACCUCUCAGCUGAAUACUGGCAUCCAGGAAUGCAACUCACCUUCUCUUCUGCUAUUAGCUCAUUUUACAUGCAUAAGCAAGACUUUCUGCAUCGUAUUCAGAGAUGUGAACCCGAAAUCAUCUCUUCUGGGACUACAAGGAAACUAAGGAGGCUAACAGUCACUCUUUGGGCUGUAGCCACCACAACUCCAUUCCUAUGGCCGUCUCCCAAAUGACUGAAGACCUCUGGCUUCUCUGGAUGCUCUUUCUCAGGUUCUGUUGUCCUGCGGUGUUUCUUCCAAAGUACCUGACAAACCCUGGAAAUGGCACUGGGUGCUUGAGUCCAGGUGAACAAUACAGAGUGAGGAAAGGAAUGCUCAUUGGCAUGACUUCCAGCCUCAGACUUGUAGUGAAGCCACAGUGCGGUGUUGGGAGCUGAGCACAUCCACCUUUGGUAUCUGCCCAGAAAAUGGUCUGGCUCCAUGGAUGUAUUCACUGGGAAUAGCUGUAUAAGCUGGAAUACAGUCAAAGAUACAUGGCAGAGAAACCUGCCCUGUGAAUAAAGCCUUUGUUAAGAGGCAUUCCAUCUGUACAUGAUUUCAUCAGCUCCAUGAAAUGUGCAGGACAUUUAUAUGGUGAAUUAGGCACAGCUCCUGUUUUGAGAGAGAAAAUGCUUCUGUGUGCUUUUCCACCGAAGUCUGUUGCUACACGAAGAGGGGAGGAAACCUUCUGCAAUGCUGUUACUGUUCUCAGCCACAGGACAGGGCAAGCAUUGGGACCGUGCUAACAUGGCUAUAAAAAUAACGUGCAUGUAAAAAGCAUCAAAUGCACAAAAAAAUUGGCAUCGCCCUCUUCUUUGCCUUCUCUCCCUUAAAUGUGGAGAUACUUAAAACAGUGUAAAUAACAUUCAAGACAGCUAAAGAGCAGUCCACAGUGCUGAAACACUCCUGCCGUCCAAAGCAGCUCCAUGCCAGCUAUUUCAUUUACCAUAUGUUUGGUGUGGUUUUGGCAGAGUCAACAUGAGGAUUUUUGGGCAGGCCUGCAAAACAGUUUUUCCCUUCCUCCACCCAAACGUGACCCAGUCCUGUCUGCCAUGAUCACGCCAUUGCACAGGGUCAGCCUGGCUGUUUUGGGCAGAAUUAGUCAGAGGGGCAUUUGGAAAGAUGCCCAAGGAGGGCUGAUUCAUUUUCCAUAUAAGUGGUUGCAUUAUGGAGCAGGAAGGAGAAGGAAGACGCAAUGUUUGGGAUGGAGAUGCUGGGUAAUGCUGAAGGACCACACAGGGAUUAUAGGAUUCCUUCUCCAGGUCCAAGGCAGGUGUGGUUGGGAUGCACUGGCUGUGGGGGCAAGCUGCCAGCCCCAUGGCACUGUUUUCAGCCAUCCUGCAGGAACUGCCAGAGGCUGUGAACCAGUGACUGGAAACGUGGAGCUUUGCUCCUGGGGUCGUCUGGUUUCAGAUGUGGAGAACACGGGCUCCAGGCAGCCCAGUCCAGCAGAGAACUGCCUGAGCUGUGAGCAGACUCUCCGGGGUGGGGCUUAAUUUUCCUUAAAAAUGAGUGGGACGCAGUGCCCAGACAUACAGUCCAGUUGGUGCCAUCCAGCUAGGGCCUGGGACUUGUCUAGCUGAACAAGGGAAGAAGAAAAGGGAAUUUAAACACACCGCUCUGCCCUUUUCUAAGAAAGUGCUGGAAGGUGUGAAGGUACAGCUGUGUCAUUCCUUCCUGCUGUGUGCUCCUAGCAUGCAUUCCCAGCAGUAGUUCACAGAAGCGAGCCGUGUUCCCCCAGCAGAGGAGCUUCGCCACAGGGUGCUGGGGUAUCUGCUCAGUAGACUUGCUGACCUCAGGGAGCAGCUUUGCCAGGCGAGCCCUCCAAGCAGAGAGCCAAAACCCCUGGUUAGCACUGAGCCUGCGAUCUCUCCCUCACUUUCUGGUGGAUUAAUUGCUAGAAAGGUUGUGCAGCUGCAUGGCAGCCCAGCACCCCAUCUGGUUGGCCGUACCUCUGCAUUUCUGUUCUCUGAAACAGUGUUUCUGACCUCAUUCACCCUGCAACCGGAGGGUGGAAUUCAGCUUCAUGUCCAUGGCAAGGGAAUGUAAAUAUUCAUGCCUAUAGUCUUUGCAAGUGCACUACCCAAGUGUGCACGUGAGCAAGCAAGAAAGCAGUUUCCAGCGAGGAGGCAGGAGCAGGGCUCUCCAGCCUACCUCCAACUGCUUCCGCUCUCCCCAAAGCUGUUCAGGGGAGCAGGAGCUCCCGAGGAUGGUGUGGCCUCAGUCUGAGUGGGGCAAAUCGGGGUGAGUCAGCCAGAAGAGCCAAGGCUCGCUGGGCACGAGCCCCUCUUCCCAGAGUUGGCCUUUAAUCCAAGUUGGCUGCAUGCUGCCUGCUCUCAGCAGCCCUUUUGUGCCUCCACGGGUGUUUGCUGGUGCAGGGCUGAGUGACUCAGCCUGCGCCCCUACCCUGAGCGCUGGAGAGCUGGGAGGGGCUGCAGAGUGCCUGGCUGCAGGUCUCGUCCUUCCCUUUUCUCAUUUCAGCAAAACCGUUGCAGAUUUCACGGAGCUUUCCAUCACAGGCAAACAAAGAGGAAAUUGAUUCAGAGCGAGAGCAUUAACAUCACCAAAUAGUAAAGGCAUUGCCUAAUGCUAUCAAGCAAGCUUCCUCUACUGCAGAAGCAGAGGUGGGCAGAGUGAAGCUAAAGAAGUAAGGGGACAGUGGCUGGGUGAGGGCAGGGGUCCUUGGCGAAGAAAACCCAGAGGAUAAAAGGCAAAAAGAACAAAGGGAGAGGUGUUGGGGAAAUAUGACUGAGCAGAUGCAGUACUUAUCUGCUUAUGCAUCACAUAAAAUUCCUAUGUGUAAACAGAAAGCAAUGAGUAACAUCAAGUGAAGGGCCAACCUGUGGGAAGGAGUUGUGCUGGUGUAAUAAAAGGGCCGGUGUUAAACCAUUUCAGUUAGAGCCCUGCACACGUGGGCUACUGAUGGAAGAAAAAGGCCUGGCUUUAUGGCUUCCAAGGAUAGCAAACACUGGGGCUUCCUGGUGCAAAGUGCUGAUCCGUAUGAUAGUAAACUUCCAUUUGUUCAAACCUCGGUGACGAGUCAGCACUGUACUGGCUGCCUUUAUGUAGGAUAAGGCAAGGUCUGUCUCCCAACAGGUGGUUUAAUGCCAGCAAAACGACAACAACAACAAAACAUCUAGAGCCAGAAUAAGCACAUGGUACAUCAUUCUGGCUCUUCCAGAUGUAUGAAAUGUACAAAAAUGUAACUGGGAAUUCACAAAUAAUCCUGAUUAGUCUUAUCCUGUGUACUGCCACUGUCUAAUUUUCAUUUACAUCAAGACUAUUUUAGUCUAAUCGGCUAUUAAGAUAUAUGUCAAUGCAAAAGUUUCUAGCUCUUCAGCACCAGUGUAACUCAUUUUCCAGAGCAAUGCAAAUACCAAGAGGAAUGGUUCCCACCAGCGCUGGAGCGCUGACACACUCACUUGACAAGCACCUGCCCUGGCCUCAGGCACUUCAGACUGGCCUUUGAUCACCAGAGAUCAAGAGUAUUUCCACCCAUACAAGGUAAGUCUGUUGGUUGCACGGACAGCUCAGAGGAAAUGGAGCUCCUGUGAAGACCUGAUUUUGGGCGCAUCAGUUCUUGUACAAGGAUUUCAAGUGUUAGAGGAGUGUCUGGAUUUUAAAUGUCUCGUGUGCAGCACACUGCUCCAAAAAACUCUCUACGUUAGGCUAGUCCUCAGGCUUGAAUAUUCAUGAAGGUAUUUUCCUACAUGAGCAACAUGUCCUAUCUCAUGUCUUAUGCCUGCCUCGAAUUUAAAGUGUGUGAGUGCAGCUAAGCCUCAUGUCAGGUCACCUGCAACUACAGAUAACCGCAGAUAAGUGCUAUGGGUAAUGCUGCUCUGCUGGGAUGAGCUCAGCUCAGAAGUGGUUUCCAGCACUUCUUUCCCUUAAGCAAUGAGCUGAUCUGGGCUGAACGCUAUUGCCAUCCUAAGAUACAGGGAUGAAGGCUGGCCUGCCAGAUGUGCUGGUACCUUUGCAAUGCCCCUAGAGGUAUGGUUGUCCUGGAGCUGCCAUGGCAGUGGGGCUGAGCUUGUGUUGGACACUGCCGAAACUGUGACUGCUGUAACCAGUCUAUGUCUCUGAGGAUGUGAGGGACAGUGAGCAUUAGCCUGUGUCUGUGAGUAGAUCUGCCUCUUAUUCCUGAAACACUGGUGCAGUGCUCUCCCUCUCAAAGCCCCUCUUACAAACCUCUCCAUCACAUUUCUACUCUUUGCAGGCAUUGUCAUCAUUAGCAAGCCUUUGCUGUCCGGGGCUGUGUCUGCACUGAGGACUGUCUUUCAGGGAUGUAUAAGGAAACCUGAGGCUUUCUGAAAGCAUUCUUGCCCUUUCCCAUCCCUGUGAAGUCGGUUAUCAGUUCAGCAAAUUCUUACAUACAGAAAAUGCAUUUGCCUACAGCAGAGGAGGUAAGAAAACACUAAUGGUGAGCAAACUGACCUGAGGGGGAACAUUUCCAGUUCUUCUGUGGUGUUUUCCCUGCUCAUUAAAGCCCCUCCUCGGGCCUAGGGCUGUGUUUGAUGGCAGAUGAUAACAACUCCAGAAGUGUGUCCCAUUGCCCAAAGGCUGCUGCUGUGGGCUCCUCUCUGCACAGCACAGGCAAUAUCCCAGCUUCCAAUAAGGAAGAGGCUACCCUUGUGUUUCAACAUGAUCCAUCUCUGGUGGAGAAACCAGGCUUCCUUCUGCUGAGCUCCCCCUCUGUGGCCUUUUCCGUAGUUUUGCACGAGCUCAAAGGCAUUGCAACAAAAGCAGUGGGGAGAAGUCGCAGUGUGGAUUUGUCAUAUACCAAAACCCACAUUUCUUCUGUAUCUCUCCAGCUUCUCAGGAAACUGGCUGGAAAGAGACCAAGUUGAACAUAAUCUUAUCUUUCAGCCUAGUUAUUUUAAGCCCAAACGGGUUCCUUGAUCCCUUCCAACUGAAAACACCCCUUGGGAUAGUAGCAGCACAUUGAGCAGCCGGCGUGGGCACAGGAGAUCAGUGCUUUUCUGGCUAGAGCCACCUUUGGUGAUGCCAUCUCCCCACACAGAGGACAGAGCGGUUGCUGCUGUGGCGCUGCCUGCAUCGGUUGGACUUUGGUUGCCAGGGCAUCGUAAAAUGACUCAACGGGGAUCAGAAAGUGGUAGGAUCAAACAAAAGUCACUCUGAAGCUGCUGUCGGUUGGCAAAAGAAUAAUUUAAAAUUAAACCAGUUCUGAAACUAUCUACCGCAAGCGGUUACAAGCCUCAGUGUUGUAAAACUGGGCUGUUUCCUCUUUUCCUCGCAACGAUGAUGCCCUUGAUUCCUCCUUAGGCUUCUUUGGCAAUUCUUGCACGGUAAUAAAAAGGCAUGACACAGCAUAUGUUUUGUGGCUCACCUUGCCAAACAAAAUUACAACGUUAGUGUAGCUUCUUCGCCUUUGCAUAAUUAACUCUACAAAGGAGAGAGGGUAAGCAUCUGUGCCAAGACAGAAGCAAAAACAAGAAGUACGGAAGUCUGUUUUAAAGUCAUCUCUGUUCAAAGCAAUUCUUUUAAAAAUGACUUAUCUUGAAACUGUUGCAGACAAUUAGGGAAAGUCAUACAGUUUCUAAAUGUCUGUUAUGUUUUACGUCUGCAGCUACAUUGCUAAGAUGCAAAAAAAAAAGAAGUCGAUGCCUCUUUGAGAGCUCAUGAAAGCUGUGCUGGAGUGCAUCUUCUGCGCAACACGUGCUGGGGCCAGGAGGAUGCAGGCUGCCCAGGAGUGCUCAGUGCCCACUCUUCAGGCUCAGCUGGCAUCAUUCUCAUGUUUAAUAGCUUUCAGGACAGUCUCUGUGUUGCGCUGAACCACACAGUUGCCACAAGGGGAAUUUAGUGCAGGUGGAGGGGUAAGUGGGGUGAGAGGUGGGCCUGGUCCUGCUGCCUAUCCCACUGCCUUACUGUCAUCCUUGUUACCUAAACUAGUGUUAAUAGCUGAAUUAGGAUUCAAGCAGCCUGAGUAGUUCUAAUAUAGAGCAUUAAAGAGCAAAUCCUUUUUCCACUGAUGCCAAAGACAAGACUCCCAGAAAAAGGUCUGGCCCCUAGUUUCUGGCAAGUCCCCAGGCAGUCCAACUAAGUCAAGAAAAAAAGAAUAAGGGGAAAAAAAGAGAAGAGAAGAAGAGAAGAGAAGAGAAGAGAAGAGAAGAGAAGAGAAGAGAAGAGAAGAGAAGAGAAGAGAAGAGAAGAGAAGAGAAGAGAAGAGAAGAGAAGAGAAAAAGGAAGAAAAGGGAGGCGAAAUUAAAAGAAAAAGGGGAAAAUAGAAAAGAAAGAGAUGAGGAACACUUUACAACUAACUAUGGCAGCUGGCAGCAGGUCAUCCAGAUGGAGCAGGGAUCCUGCAUGCCUGCUCAGUCUCCCUUGCUCUUAGGCAGCCUCCAGACGUGAAACCUUGUCACGCUCUGCUACCAUAUCCAGUGCAACGCCCCACUGUGCACAGUGUUGUUCAGUCACAAAGAUGGUCUCUGUCUGCCCAAAGUUCUCACAGAGACCUUUGCACAAUGUCACUGCAGUCAAAACUUGUUUAUUAAAUGCUCACUUAGCAGAAAUGAGGUCAAAUCAUUUAAUGGCUAUUAAGAUGUUAAUGCAUUAAACACUAAAAUAUCACCUGUUUAUCUUAACCCUCAUUUACCUAAAUCACCUUAGCAUUCAUUGUGAUGACUGAGAUUUGACAGUGUUUGCUAAUUAUGUAAGAGUUGAGCUAGCACCAGUUGGUCUUACUGCUGCACCCAAGCACCUUGGUAACAAACAUUAUCAUCCACAGCAAACUGGAGCUAUUCCUAAAUAAUGAUGAUGAGAAAUUCCCAAAUACAGUAGAAAAAAGUCAAUGCCCGAAGAACAGCAAGAGGAGGGCUCUGCCUGGAAGGAAUCAUGACUGAAGCUGUGAAGUGUCAUCCAAAAUCACUGAUCCCUAUUGCUAAGCCAACCUAUGUUGAUAGCACCAUUCUGUGGCUGACCCAUCUGGCACAAAAGAGUCGCACAAAACCCUCCCAUUCAAUGUGGAGGCUUAAUGUCCAAGGUACACUUCAAAACACCUUCAUUCCCGUGCCACCGCCCCGUGGUCCCCACACCCUUGGAGUCUGAGGGAACAUCUCCAUGGCCCAAGCCCUGGUGCAGCAAGCUGGGGUGCCUCCAGGCAUCAGCAUCCCUCUCAGAGUUGGCACCGUUCAUGUCAUGGUGGUGCGUGCUCAGCAGCUGUAGCACUGAGUUCUGCUGCAGGGCUGAGCCCAGCUCUUUCUGCCCAUGGAGAUGAAUGCACGGUUGGCUCCCGAGCUGCAACUAAUAGAUUAAAGCUCCCAAUAAAUCAAGAGUUUUGCAAAAGCGUGAAUGACUGAUUUCACAAGGUGAUUAGAAUUAUCAAGGGAAAACAUUUGAAGUGCUCAAUAAUUUACACUAACCACCUGUACUUUUAAAAUAACUUUCCCCAUUCCCCUCCCUUAACUUUAAGGGAUUCUUGCCAUGUUCUUCAAGCCAUUUCCUUCCUUCCCUUCAGCUCUGAUUGCUGCGGAACACUCUUAAUAAAGAACGUACCGUAUCACUGGAGAUUGUUCUGGGGAUGAAAAAUGCAAUGUGAUUUAUUAUAACAUGGCCUAUGCAGGCAGCUGAUCUUAGCCUGCACUCUGCAUCCUUCCAAAAUCAAAACAAUUUGCAAUGUAAUAUUGUGAAAUUGGGUUUGUAUUCCAGUUUGCAUUUUAUGAUUCUUAUCCUUAAGAAAGCAUUUCCAAAUGCAUUUUCAGUUAGUUAGGUUUUUCCAUGCCUGCUUUUCGCUUUCAACAGUGCUAGCAAAGUCAUGCAUGGUUUGAAAGGUUUUACGCGUAAAUUUGGAACUCGUAUCACACCCUACUGAGCAGUGGGGACUGUUCAUUUAUUUGUUUAUUAAGUAGGAGUUAUUUUCUCUCCAGCAUGCUAUAAAGCCAGCUCUUUGACCUCAUUCCUCAACACGGACAAGAACUGAAUUCCUGGAAUAAAGAAAAAAAAUGGAGAAAAUGCACUCCCAUUUUGACAAAAAUAACUGAAGAGAUCCUUCCAACUCAAAAAAGCCUUCAGGAAAAAAUGUGGGACAUAUCCUUCACAGGUUGUCAACCUUCCAUUGGAAGCAGAAGAUCCAUGACAAUUCAUGCCACAGAGGUUUGCUGCCAGGUGGCGGAGGACAAAGUUCACUCUGGAGUGGUUUGCUAGCAGGGCAGUUGCGCAGUGCGUGGAAGUGCCCAGAUGGGAGGCAGGGAGAAGAUGGAAGGCAGAGAACUGAGGUGUGCAGAGGUGACUGGGAGGACACAUCACAGCCCCAUCUCUGAGAAGGGCCAGGAUGAUAGCUUAGGAAAAUGCAGACACGAAGGGCAGUUGGGCAGUGGUACAGUCCCAGCUAAAUCCCUAGUUGUAAAGAGCCCCGAAGGACUUUUUAUGCAGGAAUUUGCCUAACCACAUUUUAAGUCUGGUUAUACAUUGACAAGAAAAAAUGACCCACGGUGAGGCGUUCACACAGCCUGCUCUUUCACUUUGAUAGCCCCAGGCUUCUGCACCAUGAGAAGCAGUGGGUUAACAUGCCACCUGCACCCUGACUGUGCCACCUGGGACAGAUCUCAGGGCUGCCUGAGUUUAUUUUCCAAUAUUUCAACUAAAGAAAAUACCCACUAGCUGAUCUAUGAUAGAGAAAGUAAAAUAAGUAUCUGUACGUGUGCUCAACACAAAUAACUUACUUGAGAAACCCCUCAUACACCUCUGCUUUAUUGUUUUAUUUUCCAGUGGUGGUUUAUGGUGUUGUGAUGAAGCCAGAGGUUUGACACAAAGAGGUAGUCUUUACCCAGAUACUAAUAUUCAGUAGGUCAUCUUGUGAAAACAUACUGGAAUAGAAAUGAAGAGGGAAGGGGCUAGGAAGGGAAAAAGGAAGGAAAAGCUGGACAGUUCAGGGAGCAAAGAAAAUAGCCACAGUGCCACUAGACAGAGAAAUAGAAUGCAAAUAGUGGGGUGAAGACCCACUUUGUAGAGGGACUCCCAUUCAUGAUUAUAUGGUAGAUAAAAGUUCAGUGAAACAGAAGCACACCAGCUGCAUUCACCUGGAGACUGUUGGCACCAUGUUGUUGACUGCAGCUUCUCUUGCAGAUGCAAACAUGAUCUCUGCUGUUGUGACACAAGCUGGGGUGAGCUGUCCUUCCAGCUCCUUCUGCAAAAGUGCCAAGAGCAUGACAAGUGGGGUCCAACAUACUGGUUUUGGCCAGCUCUCCCCAAAGCCAACAGGAGCCUUGAGUCAGGCCACAGGAGCUUCCAAUGACUCAAAGAGCAAUCAUUGGAUGAUAUAUCAAACUCCAACUGCUAGAUAAAGAAGAGAAAUCGGAGUGCCUGCAAGGAUACCAGCUAUUGUUGUAUCAUCAUAGCUCUUCUGUAACAUUUUCUUCUCAUGAGGUGAUAUGAAGUGCAUGGAGAGGAGUAAGUUAUAAAGUUGUACUAAUGUGAUUGUUUGGGAUGUUAAAACAAAGUCAACAAUUCCUUUACAAACCAUCCCAGCUUCUGGGCAGAUAUCCCUGGAAGCUUCAGGAGUCCUCUUUGAUCCUGGCUGCCCCAUAAAGAAACAUCGUUUAUACUGAAUUAAUUAGCUGCCACUUAACCCUGGCGCCAAGAGUUGAUGUCAUGAGGCAAAACAAAAUGGAGCUAAUGAAAUCAAUAACAUCAUUAAAAUAACUCACAGCAGAGUUACUGACUGCCGUGCCGACUGUGCUUAUGGACCAAUUGCUCAGCACGUAAAGGGACUUCUGCAAGAACAUGUUCAAGCUAUGAAUGGCAGCCAGCAGCCAACUUGACAUCACUCUGCUCAGGUGAGCUUUUCCAGGACUGCACAGGGAGGUUGCAUGGGCACAGCCUUGGCCUGGAAGUGUCAGAUUGGUUUGGACAGAUGGCAGUAAGGAGUAGAGGGCAAGGUGCUCCCAAAGCAAAUUUCUGAGUGGGAGUUUUAAGCAGGAAGGUACAUUUAGGUAGAGCUUUUCUACUAUUAAUGAAGCUAGAGUAAGACAUUACUAGGAACAAUGCACACCAUGCACAGGAACAAGCUGACCUGGAAAGAUUAAUCUGUCCCUGAAGGCCUGAAGCAUCUUGGUUGGCUGCUGAGAAGCUGAAGCCCUGAUCAACAGUGCUUAAAGAGCAUGGACCACAGUGAGCUCUGGCUCAGUGAGAACUUCUUGAUGCUGUGCUUGCAGGCCUGAGCCCCCAUCAUUGGAAACACACUGUAAUGUCAAUGCUUAAUUGAAUGAAAGAUCUAACUGCAUGCUUCUUACACAGAAUUUCCAAAUGUUUGCAAAGUCUAAGCCCCCUCACUGUGCAAAGAUAUAAUAGAUACCGUCAAAAAGUCUUAAGACAGACAAACAGCAAUGGUAAGUCUUUCACUGUUCAAGUUUUACACAAUGUUUUCACCACUGUUAUCCGGCUCUCCUGUAUUUAAUGACAAGUUCAUAGGCGGGGGCAGGUAAUUGUGAACAUUAAUAUUAAUUUUUCCUGACACAACUAAGUGCUAAAUAUGCAGAAGCAUAUCUAUUUAGCUCUGUGCUGGUGCUCUUUCUGUGCUCUUCCCUGAACUGACUGCUGCUAUCAUCUCUUUAAGUUAGCUCCUUCCUGACUAGAUGCUCUGCAGUAUUUGAUUCUGACUUAUACAGGAAACUUGGGUCUGCAGGCAAAGGUGAAAGGCAGCUGGGGUGAGAGUGACCUUCAAGUGGCAAAUCUGAGGCAGAAAGGACAUUUGAAGAGUUAACAGUGCUGUAAGGAAGUUGUGUGGAAGGCACAAUCACAGAAGAAAUAGUAAAGAACUGCUUGUGAACUGCUUGGUAGCAGGGCAACUUAGCACAAGCCCUACAGGAGGCCCACAAGGUACAAAGUGAUUAAAUCAUGAGCUCUUCAUUAGUUUCAGAUGUGCAGUGGAAGCAGACAGAAAGUCAAACUAGGUCAUGUUACUAAGAGGAGGAAUGAAAUGAAAAAGAUAUAGGUGAUGCAACGAGCAGUGGGCGUGAAGUUUAUGCACUUGAAGUAAAAGGAGGGCCAGAGAAAGACCUGAGUUUCACAAGGAGGAGUUACUCAGUGACGAUACCAAAGACCUAAAUGGUUGUUACUUUCUUCCUUUGGUCUACUCAAAGGUGCCCAAGGAGUCAGAGAGCAAGCAGCUUAAUUUCAAUUCCUGGAAAAUGCUGGAAGUGGAAAUUGGUUAAGCUCUUUUCCAGCACCUAGAUGACAGCAAGCAGAUGAGGAACAGCGAGCACUGAUUUGACAAAAACAAAUCACAUCCAAUCAAUCUAAUUUCCUUCUGUAGUAGGCCUUAGAUCUUGAUUUUAGUAAAGCUUUUGCCAUUGUCUCACCUGACACUUUCAUAAACUAAGUAAAGAAACAUGGUUUAGAAGAAACUGCUAUUAGAGGAGUGUACAGCUGGUUGGAAAACCAGACUAAAAGCAGUUAUAAAUGCUUCACUGUCAAACUGGCGGUACGUAUCAAAUGAAGUCUGAAGCCAUCUGUUUUGUGUCUGGCAGUGUACGGUAUUUUCAUUAAUAUCUUUGAAGAAAUGAGAGUAGGGAACACUUAUUAAAUUAGCACAGGACACCAUGGAGAACAAGCGCUUUGGAGAAACAGGAUGAGAAUGCAAAACAAUCUUGACAAAUUGGAGGAAUGCUGGGGAAAACAAACGCCAUUGAGCAGGGACAAAGCAGAGCUCUGCAGUUGCGUAGGCGUCAUCAAGUACUAAAAGACGGCUGGGAAACAACCGGCACAGCAGCAGUUCUGCAGAAGAUCUAGGGAUGACAGCUCAACAUGAAUGAGCACGGUCAUGCUGCAGUAAAAAAUGAAAGUGCUGUAAUGAGGUGUACAAACAGAAGUUCAAUCUGCAAGAAACAGGAAAUAAUUCUUUCCCGCUUGUCUAUGCUGUGAAGACUUCAUUUGAACUGUGCAGGUUCGGCCACUGCAGUUCAGGACAGUUUCAGGACUGGAUAAGCUUGAGGAUUCAACUCAGCCUGCAGCCGAACACCUCAAACAUGGGAGGCCAUUCCACACUGAGGACAACUGAACCAAACAGAGUAAUCGUAUCUUUAGUUAAUGAAACAGCUUCGGUUAGAAAAAGAGGGUGAUAGGAAGGCAUAAAACCAGCAUGAAUUGAUUCAGCUUAAUAAAAUGAGCUGGUUUUAUUAUUUGCUUGCAGCCUACUUCGUAUUAUUCCCCUGGCAGAAGUGACAUCUCAUCACAAGCUUUUGGGAAUCUGUUGUUAAGGGUUUCCUCUUGCAGCUUACAGAGCAAUACCAUAGCUAUGCAAAAUUUCUACAAACUCACACUUUCUCCUCUCUUACCUUGAUGGUAACCUCCUCUCUAAUCUCCUGGUCUGUCAAAUGCUUCCUGUUGGCUGCUGUAGACAUCCUUGCUUGUGCCUCGAUGCAUCUUUUAGCUGUGACAGCCACAACACAACUCCCUGCCUUCCCUCAGGUGCCUAGAAAUGCAGCUCUGUCAUCUUCCUGUUCACGUUUAGCCUGCCCCCUGAAGUCCUCCAGGCUUUUAUUAUCAUGCAGGUUUGUGUUCCUCUCUACUCAUUAACCUCUUUUCCUCUAGCCUUGUCUCUUCUCUUUGCCACAUUAGACUUCUGCACUUCAUCACAUCAAGUCUGCAGCAGAUGUUUCCCUGGCUGCCCACAGACCUCGCACUCAGUGCAAGAAAGGGAAACUCCAUCUCAGUUGAAGUGAAACACAAAGAGGGAACUCUGGUAGUCCUCAGCAAUCCCAUCUGAAUCCUAUCUCAAGUCCAGAGGUAUUUCCUUUCUCUUUUCAUGAGAUUCAUUCACUUCUCCUUUCUCAUGACCCAGUCUCCUACUUGUACAGCAGAACUGAUGGCUCAGAUGGUGCCUUCUGACCUUAAAUGCCUGAAGGUUAACUAAGAAUGGGGGCUCGUGGCACAAGUAAGAGCACAGCAUGUUUUUAAAGAAACGCCUUGGAUAUGUUCAUACACUGCCAUAAAACGUAGCAGCUUGGCUUUGUUCAUUUGUUUUACCACUUGUUGUCUUCUUGCUAACUCUGUACUUCUCUGAAGUGAAGUUCAUCAGUGCACUGACACAGCGACGUAGUUAUGUAUGCCAGGCACAUAAAACACUGCCUAGCCGUAUUUUUGUUAGAAGAGAUGUCACACGUGUACCACAUGUUAGUGUGGCUGACUGUGUCUCCCUGGAGCUGGGUUUCCUCACAUCAGCAGGGAACUGGGCUGGUAGUGGGCCUGGACCAGUAGAUAUGCAGGGACAUGGACGAGGAGCAUUUUGUAAGGUUGAUCUCCCAGGGGGGAUUAUAAUCCAAUUCAUUAUACAGCAACUGGGAGUCCCCUGUGCAUCUCUAUGUCUGUAGAGGUGGAUGUAGAUGCAAGUUGCAGCUUGGAGCAGAAGCACGUGAAGGUGAGGGUAGAUCUCAUCAGUGUGUGGGGAUGAUACUUGUCUCUAACUGCACACAAAGGACAUUUCAUCUUUCCUCCCAGCUCAUCCACUUCCCCUCCCAUAAAGGACAUAAAAAGAAACCAAACAAGAAGAGCAGCCAGUAGAAACUAUCACAUGUUUGGGGAAAGCUCGCAGGACAAAUAUUUCAAACCAGAACUGCCUGAGAUGACCUUACAAGCAAAAUAGACAACACCUACGUAUUGCGAUGGAAAUGACAAAGCAGGGAAAUUGUUGCAAACGCAGCACAAAUGGACACUAGCUGCAGAUUACACAGAUUAGCAGAGCAUUACAAAUUGUACAAAGGAAACGCUCAAUUUUUCUUUUCAGUAUUAAUAAAAGACACCUGAAAUCAGCAGUA